UUUUCUAAUUAUGGUUUUUAAAUAGACAACAAUUUUAAAUUAGAUUGCCUGGUUGGAGCAGUGGUCACAUCCGGUUUUUAUCAUCUUUGGCAGCUGGCAAAAGCUAAGUCAUUUCUCUCAAAACAAAGCAUUGAGAUAGCAUUUUAUGCUUUUAUUACAGCCAGGCAACAGCAAUGCUCUCUACCUUGGACUCAGCCUGUCCCGUCUGCCUCCAGCUGGUCCAGAACAGAGCUGCCAGGCUUCUGACUGGAGUUGGUCAGCUGGUCAGCUGCUCCUGGAGGUGCCAAAGUCAAACAGGAAGCUCAGAGGGGACAAGUCUUUUAGUGUGUCCGCUCCCUCACUAUGGAAUAACCUUCCUAUUCAGAUCAGCAUUUGAGGACAUAGAAGUUACAGGAAGUCCCCCGGGGACAGCUGCAUAGGGUCCCGAUGCGUGCCCCUUUACGUACAGCACAUGGCUCCCCUGCAUCACACUGAAAAGGUCUUUCUCCUGCUGGGUUUUCAGGGUGAAGUCUAAGGAGCGCGUCUCCAGUGAGGACUCCUCCGCUCGGGCCAGUCGCAGG